GAUGAACGCUGGCGGCGUGCCUAAUACAUGCAAGUCGAGCGAACAGACGAGGAGCUUGCUCCUCUGACGUUAGCGGCGGACGGGUGAGUAACACGUGGAUAACCUACCUAUAAGACUUGGAUAACUUCGGGAAACCGGAGCUAAUACCGGAUAAUAUAUUGAACCGCAUGGUUCAAUAGUUAAAGACGGUUUUGCUGUCACUUAUAGAUGGAUCCGCGCCGCAUUAGCUAGUUGGUAAGGUAACGGCUUACCAAGGCGACGAUGCGUAGCCGACCUGAGAGGGUGAUCGGCCACACUGGAACUGAGACACGGUCCAGACUACUACGGGAGGCAGCAGUAGGGAAUCUUCCGCAAUGGGCGAAAGCCUGACGGAGCAACGCCGCGUGAGUGAUGAAGGUCUUCGGAUCGUAAAACUCUGUUAUUAGGGAAGAACAAAUGUGUAAGUAACUAUGCACGUCUUGACGGUACCUAAUCAGAAAGCCACGGCUAACUACG
rnacentral:rRNA from 1 species